ACUCCUACGGGAGGCAGCAGUGGGGAAUUUUGGACAAUGGGCGCAAGCCUGAUCCAGCCAUGCCGCGUGAGUGAAGAAGGCCUUCGGGUUGUAAAGCUCUUUCAGUCGGGAAGAAAAGGCGGGCUCUAACAUAGCCCGUUGCUGACGGUACCGACAGAAGAAGCACCGGCUAACUACGUGCCAGCAGCCGCGGUAAUACGUAGGGUGCGAGCGUUAAUCGGAAUUACUGGGCGUAAAGCGUGCGCAGGCGGUUUUGUAAGACAGAUGUGAAAUCCCCGGGCUUAACCUGGGAACUGCGUUUGUGACUGCAAGGCUAGAGUACGGCAGAGGGGGGUGGAAUUCCACGUGUAGCAGUGAAAUGCGUAGAGAUGUGGAGGAACACCGAUGGCGAAGGCAGCCCCCUGGGCCUGUACUGACGCUCAUGCACGAAAGCGUGGGGAGCAAACAGGAUUAGAUACCCUGGUAGUC
rnacentral:rRNA from 1 species